rnacentral:rRNA from 1 species
GUGGGGAAUAUUGGGCAAUGGGCGCAAGCCUGACCCAGCAACGCCGCGUGAGGGAAGAAGGCCUUCGGGUUGUAAACCUCUGUCCUUGGGGACGAAAAAAAUGACGGUACCCAAGGAGGAAGCUCCGGCUAACUACGUGCCAGCAGCCGCGGUAAUACGUAGGGAGCGAGCGUUGUCCGGAAUUACUGGGCGUAAAGGGUGCGUAGGCGGCAUUGCAAUUCAGGUGUGAAAUCCCCGGGCUUAACUCGGGGGGUGCAUUUGAAACUGCAGUGCUUGAGUGCAGGAGAGGAAAGCGGAAUUCCUAGUGUAGCGGUGAAAUGCGUAGAUAUUAGGAGGAACACCAGUGGCGAAGGCGGCUUUCUGGACUGUAACUGACGCUGAGGCACGAAAGCGUGGGGAGCAAACAGGAUUAGAUACCCCGGUAGUCC